ACGGGAGGCAGCAGUGGGGAAUAUUGCACAAUGGGGGAAACCCUGAUGCAGCGACGCCGCGUGAGUGAAGAAGUAUUUCGGUAUGUAAAGCUCUAUCAGCAGGAAAGAAAAUGACGGUACCUGACUAAGAAGCCCCGGCUAACUACGUGCCAGCAGCCGCGGUAAUACGUAGGGGGCAAGCGUUAUCCGGAUUUACUGGGUGUAAAGGGAGCGUAGACGGUUUUGCAAGUCUGAAGUGAAAUGCCGGGGCUCAACCCCGGAACUGCUUUGGAAACUGUAGAACUAGAGUGCAGGAGAGGUAAGUGGAAUUCCUAGUGUAGCGGUGAAAUGCGUAGAUAUUAGGAGGAACACCAGUGGCGAAGGCGGCUUACUGGGCCGUAACUGACGCUGAGGCGCGAAAGCGUGGGGAGCGAACAGGAUUAGAUACCCUGGUA
rnacentral:rRNA from 1 species